GUGGGGAAUCUUGCGCAAUGGGCGAAAGCCUGACGCAGCAACGCCGCGUGAGGGACGAAGGCUUUCUGAGUUGUAAACCUCUUUCGACAGGAACGAUUGUGACGGUACCUGUAGAAGAAGCACCGGCCAACUAUGU
rnacentral:rRNA from 1 species